rnacentral:lncRNA from 1 species
AAGAAUCUGUUCUAUAUUCCUUAAAAUGUUUAAGAUUACUAUAAGACGAGGGGGACUUUAGGCCUAACCUCCAAUACUUACAAAAAGUCAUAAAUAAAAUACUAAUUUCUACAGACAACAAUAUUAGAGGUGAGUCUCCUCCCUAUUUCAAGAAUUACAAGUGCUAUGAAUAUGAAAACUUGUAGAGCUUCUGUAGUAUCAAAUGUUUCUGCAGUCGCGCCCUCCAGCCCCUCUUUACAAAAGCGAGCACUUCAUCGCUUAUGUCGCUUCAUCGCUUCUUCUACUGAAGCACACGCUUGACAAGGUCGAGUCGCCUCAGGCUAGGAAAAACGAUGGUUGGUCGCUUCGCUUUUUCAAACACAGCCUCCAGCUUCUUAGUUUCAUGCUUUUGUACAAUAAUAAUCUUGUAAAAGUUGAGACAAAUCAGCCCAUGGAUAAAAAUAAGUUGCAACUAGAUAAUCUCUGUAGAUAGAUGUUGGAAAGAAAUAUUUUAGUUUGUAAAACAUAGUUCGUGAUAGCAUAUAACAGAUCUUAAUGUCAUUGUAAUAUACAAUCACAACUUAAACUAUUUCUACAUUACAAAUCAUAACGAACAUUGCAAAUCUUAAUUAUUAUUUAUUAUGUUAAGACGAACAAGCGAUCGAGCAGCAAUUAUAAUGAAAAUUGAAGAGGUAAUUCUUUGACAAUCAAGAAUCAUGUAUAAAUAUGUGAAUCUGUCCAAUGGUUAGACAACCAACACAUAUAAAUCGCAAUAACUACUAAAAGCGACAUCAGCCUAGCAGAGAGUUCACUCUGCACCUUUAAUCCAUCAACAAGGCAUGCGAGCAUGCUUCUAAUGUAACUUUUCCGAUGACCUCUAAUAUCAGUCUCAUCCUUGACACCACCAAGGAAGAUGCAAACAAACUUUCUGCUCAGAGCAACUGAAAUUGUUGAAGCCAACAAUGUCUUCCUAACCCCCAGGUGGACUAACAAAGUAUAAUACAAGGCCUCUAGCAGAUAAAAAACAAGAAUUUUUUAUAUGGGAUUCCACAACCAAGGAAACAUAGGUAGAAAAUAUAUGAGAGAUUAAAGUGUUGCGCCCUCCAGCUUCUUAUUCAUGAUUUGUACAAUCAUAAGCUUGUAAAAGUUGAGACAAACAAUGGGUAAUACCUGUAGAGGUUGGAAAAAAUUCUAGUUUGUCAUCACCCUCAAUUUGCAUCGCAACUACCCUGCAAAAUACUUGAUUAUCAAAAUGUUCUAUCGAGAUAACUUCAAGAGCUUGCAAAUCAGAAGUGCAUCUAUCAUAAAAUAGAAUUUUGCAACAAAAAAAUAAGAAAGAAGUCACUAUUAUCUGCAACAAAAACUUCCUAUAUAGGAUUCGACAACCAAGUACGGAAAUGGAGGUAAGAAAAUAUUUGUGAGAGUAAACCGCUCCGUAAAAUGUACAGUUUGAUUUAAAAAAUCUAUUUUUGAGCCAAGAUUAAAACUUUACUACAAUUAAAAAAUUCACUCGGAAUUUAUCUUUAACACCAAAAUUGUGAGACAUGUGCAAAUUUGAGAAGGGCUUACAGCGACCCAACACUAGAAUGUUGUGGUACCACCACCAGUGUCGAUGUCUUCCAUCAAUUUUACUUGUAUAAUAUCAAAAAUCCUGAAUCAUGGAUGAACUUUCAGGAAGAUCUAUAAAAGAAAUUGACAUUAAAUUUAAAAAAAGGGAAAAUUUUGGGGAAUAUAGAAAUUCUUCGAGAUUCAGAUUGGGCUUACACAAUGGAAGUCGAUAAUGAAGCUUAGAUUUCAAGGAAUUCAUCUCUGCCAACUGAUUAGGAAUAGAAUGAGAAUAUGAAAGAGUUAAAGGGAUUUCUGACGGGAGAGAGAUCAUAUUUAUUUGGGUUUAAUUUUUGGGAUUUGGGGAAGGACAAAAAAUCCCUUAAACUUAAUUUGGUGGCCCUUGAAUAGGUAUUUUCCCAAAAUCAAAUAUAC